AAGGGAGACCUAAUUCAGGUAGGAGACGAAAAAAUAGUAGUCCCAACCAAGAAUCAAUCCCAAAAGGUCGGAGCGAGGCGAAAUUGGCUUUCAAACUAGGUUCUGGGUUCAAACAAGACCUGAAUCAGGAACAAGGGCUAUUAGCUCAGGUGGUUAGAGCGCACCCCUGAUAAGGGUGAGGUCCCUGGUUCGAGUCCAGGAUGGCCCACCUGCACAGGUGGCAAAAACAAAGAAGAGAAGCUCCGAAUCAGCACCUUAUCUUAUCUAUAGAUAAGAGAGAAUGCUGGCUCUGAGUUCAGAGUCCAGAGGAACCUUGAAAACUGCAUAGAGCUAGGUGAAAAAGCCAAAGAAGACCGCAAGGU
rnacentral:tRNA from 1 species